UACAGAGGGUGCAAGCGUUAAUCGGAAUGACUGGGCGUAAAGGGUGCGUAGGUGGCAUAUUAAGUUAGUUGUGAAAGCCCUGGGCUUAACCUGGGAACUGCAAUUGAUACUGAUAAGCUAGAGUUUAGGAGAGGAUAGUGGAAUUUCCGGUGUAGCGGUGAAAUGCGUAGAUAUCGGAAGGAACACCAGUGGCGAAGGCGACUAUCUGGCCUAGAACUGACACUGAGGCACGAAAGCGUGGGUAGCGAAC
rnacentral:rRNA from 1 species